GUCGACGUCAACACGUACAUACUGCGCAGGCGUAAACAGUGUGUUACUAUGGUAACGUGAUGUGCCGACGUUCUGUCACCAACAGCAAACGCUUAGCUAACAUUUUGAUAAUUGACUAAUGUUAAUAUGUUGUCUUGUCACCUUAACUCACCCUAACUUUUGUUUAAUGAGAAGUGGGGAUUAGAUAAAUCAACGUUAAUACUCCUCAAGCAAAAGUUUGGACAUUAGCUUGAAGAAAAAUCGAACUUUGAAAAGCGACUGGCAUCGAAGUUAUAACUUAUAGUUAGCUAGCUUGAACAUUAGCUACAUUUUUGUUCGCUAGCUACCGUUAGCUAGCGAGUUCUGAAAAUAGCAACAUAUAAUGCUAAAUGCUAGACGUGGUUGAAUAAGAGAUGAUAUUCUUGUAAUAUUAAGUUAGCCAUACUAUUGUGACAUUUAACCGUUAAUGGUUUUUAAACCAGUGAGGCAUUAAAAGAGUGACAUGGAUAAUACAGUGGUUUACAGCAGCAGCCGUAACGUGAAUACCACAAGGACAGAUCUUAGUUUGCUGCUUGAGUGUCUGAAGUUUCAGAUGAAAUGUCCCGAUUUGCAGAAACAAGCUCUUCUCGCCAUUCACUCAAUCUGUGAAAAGAGAGAGGAUAAUGUGGACCUGCUGAGAGAAAUGGGAGGUGUGGCAUUUGUGUAUAACCUCUCCAAAGCCAGUAUUGUUCGUUCAGAUGUAAAGGAGACUGCACUAUUUACGCUUGGCACGUUAGCAGAGGCCAAUGUGUAUUGCAAGAAUUCUCUGUGCAGAAAGGAGACAUUUGAAGACCUUGCUGGUUUUUUGAUGAAAGAAGACAUCCCGCUAACACAGAAGAGAGUGUCUGUGUAUUUGCUGUCUGUGUUGGUAGCCAACAACAAAUCAGGACAGACUCUUGGCCAAACCACUGGCUGCCUGGAUAUUCUACUGCAGCUUUUCAGGACCACUUCCCCUGUCUCCACAGAGGCUACUUUGAGAGCAGCUAAUGCUACUCAAACCUACCAACUUUGGGCUUCUGUGUCUAGUGCUCUCUGUGGAUGUGUCAACAACCCUCAGAAUGAGGACGGUCAGCGUAUUUGUGUAGCAGCCUUUCCCAUAAUAAAAGUCUGGCUUCAGCAGAUUGCUUUGCCACGCUCUGAGAUUUUCCAACCCAUAUGUUCCUUCAUAGCAAUGACAGUUGCAAACAACUCCUGUGUUCAGGAGAGUUUUUCUGCUUCAGGGGGUCUGGAUACCCUCACUCUUGCACUGGUUCGUCUAGCUUCUGUGGCAGAUACAAGCUUGUUGUCUUGCCAGCUUUCUGUCACUAUAUCCAAGACCCUGUCAGCUUGCAUCACAGAUAACUCUUCCCUGGCUUCAGGUCUGGCUCAGUAUGGCGUGGUUUCCCACCUCUUCUUCCUGCUGACUAGCCCACACCUGCACCCUGAGGACAGGCUCUCUGUUUUACUCACCCUGGGCCACUGCACUGAAUCCUCUGAGGAGCACCAGUCCCAGUUGGUGCAGUGUGGAGGCCUGCCCCUUAUCAUAACCCUACUCACAGAGGAUACAAGUGAGGAGGUUAGGAAGGCUGCUACAUUCAUAUUGCAGACCUGCAAACAGGCCACCACGUCCUUGGGAGUGCCUGAACUGACAGCGAGACAGGGGCAGGGUGAAAAUGUGACCCCCCUUACAAACAUGGGCGGCCUCAGGAGCUCAGCCAGAGAGGUGCUGCGCAGGAUUGAACUGCUAGAGAAAAGACAAGCAAAGGAGGCUAAGGAUGAGCAGGAAAACACAGAACCAUUAACUUUAACCGAAGGGCUAGGCCAACUGCCUCUGCCUCCAGCUUUACUGCAGCCUCUGCAGCUGAAGGAGAGGAUUAAAACCAUUCCCACGGCAUAUAGACAGAACAGCACUCUUGAGCAUGUCGAAGCAGGGGGUGACAACUACAUUCAAACCUUCAGAAACGUGAUCAAGAAUAGGAAUGACAGUGAACUGAAGCACACAAGCUCCAAUUUAAGUAUGCAGGAAGGGAAGGCUAAAACCAGUGAAGGGGAUGUGUGGUGUUCCGUUUGCAAGGGUACUGGGGCCCUAAAGUCUUCCCAUCUGCGGUCACUAGAGGGAGGCAAAGAGCCUCAUAUGGCAGACAGUCAGUUGUUUAAGCCCCCAGCUCCAGUGAGGCACAGUGUACCAAAAGAAAUUAAAUGUACUGAUGAUGAAGAGUUACAGCACCAUGAGAUGAGUAAGGUGGGGAACAUCUCAGUGGAGGAACACUCACUCUCUAGUAUACGGUGUGCAGGUUGUGUGCUGCCCUUUGAGGAGGUGACAAGUCGCACUUUUGCGUCUCUCCAAAGCUCCUGCCACCACAGCUGUGACAUGCACAAGGUUCUCCAGGAGGCCACAGAGCAGUUCAGGACUCGUCACUUCAACCUUCUGUUCAGGAGAGAGUACCAAGACGACAGGGUGGAGCAGACAGAACCAGACCCUGAGAGAGUUUCAGCUGCAGAGCCACAGAGAAGCUGGGAGAACUGGAGAGAGGUCUGCCUGACUCCCAUACGUAAAGGAGCAGGGAAAGGCAAGCCCUCCCUGCCAGAACAACAGUGGAAGAAGCACAGUGGCAUCACUUUGACUCCACGGCACAGUGGAGCUAAAAAGCAGAUAUUCACCUCUCAUAACAGGACCGGUCCAGGCUUGACUCCCCUGAAAAGGUCUCGUCUUCCUGAAGAGAGAAGAAAAGGGAAUAAUAGUGGAAAUCCCGCUCCUAAUGAUGAGCCGAGAACUAGCACAGAUCAAUCUUCCACUAGAAGGGAGAGGAAAGACUUCAGCCGUGAGGAGGUGCGUUACCUGCUGUGCGGAGUGAAGACUUACGGCUUCUCCUGGAACACCAUCUUGUGGUCAUACGACUUUCAACCUGGACGCACCAAUGUUGACCUGGCCAAAAAAUACAGGAGGCUAAUGGCAACAAGAGAAAAUCUCCUUAAGUAAGACAUUUGAUAGUUUUCUUUAUAAAUGGGAAAUUGCCCUCUGAUGAACUGCUGAUUGUUUCUUUGUCUUCAGAAAGGCCCUGCAUAAUCCUGGUCCUGAGAUCCUGGGCCAGCCCAUUAAUAAUAGCUCCCUGUAAAUAAUAGCUCUGACUCUACUGUUUUUAUGACUCUGACUGUAUUUAUUGGAAAAAAAGAAGUGUUUACUUCAUAUACUCAUAAUAUAUUGUACUCUCAGUAUUUAUAAAGAUUUUUAAAAAGUUUUUGCAGCUCUUCAGUGCUUUAUAUUGUUAAUUGUUUAUUUUUGUUAUGUUAACAUUAAAACAGGUAUUUAAGAUUCUUAAA